rnacentral:rRNA from 1 species
UACGUAGGUGGCAAGCGUUGUCCGGAAUUAUUGGGCGUAAAGCGCGCGCAGGCGGUCCUUUAAGUCUGAUGUGAAAGCCCACGGCUCAACCGUGGAGGGUCAUUGGAAACUGGGGGACUUGAGUGCAGGAGAGAAGAGUGGAAUUCCACGUGUAGCGGUGAAAUGCGUUGAUAUCGUAAGGAACACCUGUGGCGAAAGCGGCUUACUGGGUCUUUUCUGACGCUGAUGCACGAAAGCUAGGGGAGCAAACGGG